UACGUAGGGUGCGAGCGUUAAUCGGAAUUACUGGGCGUAAAGCGUGCGCAGGCGGUUUUGUAAGCCAGAUGUGAAAUCCCCGGGCUUAACCUGGGAAUGGCAUUUGGGACUGCAAGGCUGGAGUGCGGCAGAGGAGACUGGAAUUCCUGGUGUAGCAGUGAAAUGCGCAGAUAUCAGGAAGAACACCCGUGGCGAAAGCGGCUCUCUGGAACGGUACUGACGCUGAGACGCGAAAGCGUGGGGAGCGAACAGG
rnacentral:rRNA from 1 species